GUUGCCACCAUUCUCAGGACCCUCGCCAUGAAAGCCCUUAUGCUGCUCACCCUGUCUGUUCUGCUCUGCUGGGUCUCAGAUGGUUGCAGUGACAUCUAAGAGCCUCCAUGGAAACAGAGCGUUUUCUUGAGCCUUCUGAAGAGGGGACAACUGGGCCACUUACCUCCAGGGUGAAGUGGAUUUCACUGAGCUGACAUUCGCUGUCACUCCUGCUACAAGGUCCCUGUGCUGGGCUGUGUGGACCGGCAGUCCUGCCGCCUGGAGCCAGGACAGCAAUGCCUGACAACACAUGCAUACCUUGGUAAGAUGUGGGUUUUCUCCAAUCUGCGCUGUGGCACACCAGAAGAGCCCUGUCAGGAGGCCUUCAACCAAACCAACCGUAAGCUGGGUCUGACAUAUAACACCACCUGCUGCAACAAGGACAACUGCAACAGCGCAGGACCCCGGCCCACUCCAGCCCUGGGCCUUGUCUUCCUUACCUCCUUGGCUGGCCUUGGCCUCUGGCUGCUGCACUGAGACUCAUUCCAUUGGCUGCCCCUCCUCCCACCUGCCUUGGCCUGAGCCUCUCUCCCUGUGUCUCUGUAUCCCCUGGCUUUACAGAAUCGUCUCUCCCUAGCUCCCAUUUCUUUAAUUAAACACUGUUCCGAGUGGUCUCCUCAUCCAUCCUUCCCACCUCACACCCUUCACUCUCCUUUUUCUGGGUCCCUUCCCACUUCCUUCCAGGACCUCCAUUGGCUCCUAGAAGGGCUCCCCACUUUGCUUCCUAUACUCUGCUGUCCCCUACUUGAGGAGGGAUUGGGAUCUGGGCCUGAAAUGGGGCUUCUGUGUUGUCCCCAGUGAAGGCUCCCACAAGGACCUGAUGACCUCACUGUACAGAGCUGACUCCCCAAAUCCAGGCUCCCAUAUGUACCCCAUCCCCCAUACUCACCUCUUUCCAUUUUGAGUAAUAAAUGUCUGAGUCUGA
rnacentral:sRNA from 1 species